CUGGAGAUGAUGCAUGAAACCCUACUGACUGUCACUGAUGGUGUUAGUAUUCAUACUGUCUGAUCCAG
ensembl:snoRNA small nucleolar RNA SNORD41